AGAGUUUGAUCCUGGCUCAAGAUGAACGCUGGCGGCGUGCUUAACACAUGCUAGUCGAGCGAAGCACUUAAGUGGAUCUCUUCGGAUUGAAACUUAUUUGACUGAGCGGCGGACGGGUGAGUAACGCGUGGGUAACCUGCCUCAUACAGGGGGAUAACAGUUAGAAAUGGCUGCUAAUACCGCAUAAGCGCACAGGACCGCAUGGUCUGGUGUGAAAAACUCCGGUGGUAUGAGAUGGACCCGCGUCUGAUUAGCUAGUUGGAAGGGUAACGGCCCACCAAGGCGACGAUCAGUAGCCGGCCUGAGAGGGUGAACGGCCACAUUGGGACUGAGACACGGCCCAGAUUCCUACGGGAGGCAGCAGUGGGGAAUAUUGCACAAUGGGGGAAACCCUGAUGCAGCGACGCCGCGUGAAGGAAGAAGUAUCUCGGUAUGUAAACUUCUAUCAGCAGGGAAGAAAAUGACGGUACCUGACUAAGAAGCCCCGGCUAACUACGUGCCAGCAGCCGCGGUAAUACGUAGGGGGCAAGCGUUAUCCGGAUUUACUGGGUGUAAAGGGAGCGUAGACGGAAGAGCAAGUCUGAUGUGAAAGGCUGGGGCUUAACCCCAGGACUGCAUUGGAAACUGUUUUUCUAGAGUGCCGGAGAGGUAAGUGGAAUUCCUAGUGUAGCGGUGAAAUGCGUAGAUAUUAGGAGGAACACCAGUGGCGAAGGCGGCUUACUGGACGGUAACUGACGUUGAGGCUCGAAAGCGUGGGGAGCAAACAGGAUUAGAUACCCUGGUAGUCCACGCCGUAAACG
rnacentral:rRNA from 1 species